GAAAUGCCCACGACCGCUGCAGCCUCCGCCACGAAAAAGAGUGCCCAGCUGGGUCUCCCCUCCCCCUCGACCCCAGCGGCAGAUGACCGCGGCCGGCAGCCCCGUUGGACGGAAGAGGCCGUCCUGCUCAUUACUGGUGAAUAUUCGCAAAACCCCACCUCUGGGACUGUGAAGAAAGAACCACACUGGCGUCUGCCCUCAGGUUGCCAACGCCUCAGACCUGAUCACGACAGUUUUGGACAACCACCCUAACCGGAGCAGACAGCUUUGAAAUGAAGCAGCCUUAAUCCCG